GCUUUCUGGGAUAGUUCAGUCAAUAGAGCAUGAGACUCUUAAUCUCAGGGUCAUGGGUUUAAGCUCUAUGUUGGGCA
rnacentral:tRNA from 1 species